rnacentral:rRNA from 1 species
AGCGUGGGGAGCAAACAGGAUUAGAUACCCUGGUAGUCCACGCUGUAAACGAUGAGUACUAGGUGUCGGGGGUUACCCCCUUCGGUGCCGCAGCUAACGCAUUAAGUACUCCGCCUGGGAAGUACGCGCGCAAGAGUGAAACUCAAAGGAAUAGACGGGGACCCGCACGAGUAGCGCACAAUGUGGUUUAAUUCGAAGCAACGCGAAG